GGUAGCAGAGAAGCUUGCUUCUCUUGAGAGCGGCGGACGGGUGAGUAAAGCCUAGGAAUCUGCCUGGUAGUGGGGGAUAACGUUCGGAAACGGACGCUAAUACCGCAUACGUCCUACGGGAGAAAGCAGGGGACCUUCGGGCCUUGCGCUAUCAGAUGAGCCUAGGUCGGAUUAGCUAGUUGGUGAGGUAAUGGCUCACCAAGGCGACGAUCCGUAACUGGUCUGAGAGGAUGAUCAGUCACACUGGAACUGAGACACGGUCCAGACUCCUACGGGAGGCAGCAGUGGGGAAUAUUGGACAAUGGGCGAAAGCCUGAUCCAGCCAUGCCGCGUGUGUGAAGAAGGUCUUCGGAUUG
rnacentral:rRNA from 1 species